UACGGAGGAUGCGAGCGUUAUCCGGAUUUAUUGGGUUUAAAGGGUGCGUAGGCGGACGCUUAAGUCAGCGGUAAAAUUGCGGGGCUCAACCUCGUCGAGCCGUUGAAACUGGGUGCCUUGAGUGGGCGAGAAGUACGCGGAAUGCGUGGUGUAGCGGUGAAAUGCAUAGAUAUCACGCAGAACUCCGAUUGCGAAGGCAGCGUACCGGCUUCCUACUGACGCUGAAGCACGAAAGCGUGGGGAUCGAACAGG
rnacentral:rRNA from 1 species